CCUUGCUGCCCCAAGGACCUUGAAUGCCAGCACGCCACAGACAGCGCAGCUACUUCUGCCCUCGAGCUUCACGUUCCCCACCAGCCUCUUCUUAUCGGUAGCACAACGCAUGUGUGCAGAAAUGUGGAAGUGGCGUAUCUGAGUUCUGACCACUUUGCGCAGUGAAUCCACCAAUCUUUAUUGUGAUAAGUCCUCCAGGUGGCAAUGCACAUGCGCUCGAAGAUGUACAGAAGGCAUGGAUUUCUCCUAACUCCUCGAGGUGCAGGCUCUGCUCCAUGCGUGCAUGGCAGCAGAAAUGGUCUCUCACGGUGUGUGGGUGACAGAACUGUGCACUGGGUCCAUUGGGUGGCAUGGAAGCAGCAGGAACUGCACAGAAGAGACUCGAAAGCAUCCCAAAAAUAAAUCCCACCCAGCUGCCAUGGGGAAAGAACACCACUUCACUGUGUGCUUCUACCUACCUCCAUGGAAAGUACAUGCACACAGAAAUGUGGAAGUGGCGUAGCUGAGUUCUGACCACUCUGCACAGUGAAUCUGCCGAUCUUUAUUGUGGUAAGUCCUCCAGGCGGCAAUGUGCAUGCACUUGAAUUCCUUUGUCUAUUUCCACAUUUUUGUGCCUGAACCUGUCCCUGGAAUGGACCAAUUUGGCUCCCAGCUGCCCUCGCUCGUGUGGCAGCAUCCAAUUUGUUUGUCAUUACAGCUGAUUGACAGGUGCCCACCCCAAUACCAUGCGUGCACACUAGCUGCGAUACUUGCUGCUGCCGCUUAUUGAAGAGAAUUCUGUGCUGCAGGAGCUGCUCUGCGCACAUGUGGUAGAACAGAUGCUCUCACACGGUGCAUGGAUAGCAGAACCAUGUGAUGGGAACUGCACAGAAAAGACACAGAAGAUACCAGAAAAUGAACCCCAUCCAACUGCCUCGGGAAAAGAUCUACGCUUCAUUCUGUGCUUCUACUUACCUGCAUGCAGCACAGUAAUGGAAGACUCCAUUUCCCUCUGAUUUGAAGAAGUGACAUAGGCUGGUUUCUUUAGCAAUAGGGAUUAGUAGAAUAGUUUAAGAACCAGUAUAUUAGUUUAGCAAAAGUAACCCAUAAGUGAUAGUUCUGAAACUUUCCAUUUCAGAUUUAGUGGGUGAACAGUCUAGAUUUUCCUCAAUAAUUUUGCACUGGGGACAUAAUAGAAUACUUUUAACUUUUGCCUCAAUGAUUUUACCUCACAAGAAGCGCUGGAGUCACAAUAGAAUAUAUUUACCUUCUACCCCAAAAUGUGCAAGGACGUUUUCCUCGUGUUCCACAUACUCUGUUUUUAAAAAGCUGCUCACUGUGGCCUAAAAAGCAGUGGAAAUCCUUCAAACUGGGAAAAGUGGUUGAAAGCGGGUCAAAGGCUUCAGUGAUUAAGCUGAUGGUGAAAAAAGGGGAAGAAGUAGGCGGGCACUCAACCACCCUAGAUAUCACUGAGCAUGCCCAAAGGGACAUUAGCACAUCUUUAUGAGUCCUUGAAAAAGAAUGACUAUGUAUGCCAAUGUACUGCAUAUGCAUAUCUUAACUGUUCAAAUGCAGAACCUGAACUCUAAGUGUGUGCUCUUGCUCGACAAGUCGCCCGGUACGUAUCAUGAUGAAUUAAGGAAUGUCGCUUUCUAACACCACAUUGGAGUUAGAGAGUUUUCUUCCCGGGUUUCAGAUGACAGAAGUAGGCCACAAUAUACUUUUUAAUAACAUGGUUUUAGAUGUAGCUGAUUUGAAAAAGUAGAUACA